rnacentral:rRNA from 1 species
ACGAACGCUGGCGGCUGCUUAACACAUGCAAGUCGAACGGAGUGGCGAACGGGUGAGUAACGCGUGAGCAACCUGCCUAUGACAGUGGGAUAGCCUCGGGAAACCGGGAUUAAUACCGCAUAGUCAUAGAUGGGCUCGCGUCUGAUUAGCUAGUUGGUGAGAUAACCGCCCACCAAGGGGACGAGCAGUAGCCGGUAUGAGAGACUGGGCGUCCACAUUGAAACUGGGACACGGUGCGGACUACUACGGGAGGCAGGAGUGGGGAAUAUUGCACAAGGGGGGAAACCCUGAUGCAGCGACGCCGCGUAAGCGAAGAAGGUAGUCGUAUCGUAAAGUACUGUCCUAUGGGAAGCAGUACCAUAGAAGAAAGCUCCGGCUAAAUACGUGCCAGCAGCCGCGGUAAUUC